CAGGAGCACAUACUACUAGAUUAAGAUUGGAAGAAUACAGAGAAGAUUAGUAAGGCACCUGCACGGCAAUGAUAUGUAAAUUUGUAAAUCGUUCCGUUAAUUU